ensembl:piRNA 21ur-5133 ncRNA
UACGAAGAGAUAAUACUAGAA